ncrna:unclassified sequences S15-Flavobacteria ribosomal protein leader
UAUAUUUGCCGCGCUAAUUAAAAAUUAAUUAGCUACAUAAAAAUCAUUUAUAACAAUAUUGGCAUG